rnacentral:rRNA from 1 species
GUAGGGUGCGAGCGUUAAUCGGAAUUACUGGGCGUAAAGCGUGCGCAGGCGGGCUUUUAAGCCAGACGUGAAAUCCCCGGGCUUAACCUGGGAAUGGCGUUUGGGACUGGGAGUCUGGAGUGCGGCAGAGGAGACUGGAAUUCCUGGUGUAGCAGUGAAAUGCGUAGAUAUCAGGAGGAACACCGAUGGCGAAGGCAGGUCUCUGGGCUGACACUGACGCUCAUGCACGAAAGCGUGGGGAGCAAACAGGAUUAGAUACCCUGGUAGUCCACGCCCUAAACGAUGUCGACUGGUUGUUGGGGGUUUGACACUCUCAGUAACGAAGCUAACGCGUGAAGUCGACCGCCUGGGGAGUACGGCCGCAAGGUUAAA